CCUACGGGAGGCAGCAGUGGGGAAUAUUGGGCAAUGGGCGCAAGCCUGACCCAGCAAUGCCGCGUGAAGGACGAAGGCUUUCGGGUUGUAAACUUCUUUGUCAGGGGAAGAGCAUACGCCGAUGUCCUGAUAACAAGCUACGGCUAACUAGGUUCCAGAAGCCCGGGUAAUACGUAGGUGGCAGGCGUUGUCCGGAGUUACUGGGGGUAAUGGGCGUGUGUGCGGGAAGGCAAGUCAGAUGUGAAAGCCGGAGGCUCAACCUACGAAUGGCAUUUGAAACUGUUUUCCUUGAGUACUGGAGAGGAUGACGGAAUUCCUUGUGUAGCGGUGAAAUGCGUAGAUAUAAGGAGGAACACCGGUAGCGAAGGCGGUAUGCUGGCGAGCAACUGACGGUGAGGCGCGAAAGCGUGGGUAGCAAACAGGAUUAGAUACCCUUGUAGUC
rnacentral:rRNA from 1 species